rnacentral:snRNA from 1 species
GCUGAGCCAAAUCCUCAGCCCCCUAAAAUUGGAAUGACACAGAGAAGGUUAGCAUGGCCCCUGCGCAAGGAUGACACGCAAAUUCGUGAAGCGGUCCAUAUUUUC